CUCAGGCUUGGAUUUCAUGGAUUUCUGGAUUGGGUAACAAAGCGCUCCGUGGGCCAAAUGCCCACGAGCGUGACAUGCAAGAGCCAUUCCGGAGCCCAGUGUGCUGUUCCUGGGUGGAAAAGUGCCAGGCAUGGCUGGAAGCAAGCUCUGGAUCAGGCAAGAUGGAAUCUGAUGGAAAUCCAGGUUUGGAGGUGCAGGUGAAAGUCUGUGGGUUAAAACCCCUUUUGAUAUACAGAAGGCAGGGUGGGAUGGGAUCAGCUGUUCUGCUUUCAGCACUGUGAGCGGCACAGAGAUGGGACAAAGAGAAACCAAUGGAUUCAAGCACAAAAACCAAGGUGGACAUGGACAGAAAAAGGCAAAACAAUGGAUUCAAGCACAAAACCCAAGGUGGAUAUGGAGAGAAAAAGAGAAACCAAUGGAUUCAAGCACAAAAAGCAAGCACCAGGUGUUGUGUGGAGAGCCUGGUUCUCCAUGGCUGAAUAAAUGGAAAUUGCAGUUCCUUGGUGAGAGGGUCAGAUCUGCUUCAGACCCUGCAGGAUCAGGUCCUGGAGGUGCCAGGUGAGGAGAAGGACCUGUGAUAACACUGCCAGCAAGGAAAUUCCUGCUCCAAAGAGCUCCAGCUCAGUCAGAGCGCAGAGAUCAGGGACAACGUGCUGUGGUUUGACACCAGAACCCGGGGGUGAAACAUGCCUGGGGUAACUCCUGAUGAACUCUGCUGCUGAAAGGUUUCAGCUCCCUCUCUCCAGGCUGUUCUCCACCAAAGAGUGUUCCCUUGGCAGGGAAGGAUGGGUGAUUCCAGCGCUGCAAUUCCUUUUGGUGCUCCCAGACUGAGCUGAAAAGCUUUUGGAUGGAGCCUGGGCUUUUUGUUCCCCAGGCCACAAUCAGUGGCUGAUCUGCAUCUGCUCUAAGCUGGCAGCCAGGGAGAAAGUGGAGAGAGCUGAGCAGCAGCAGGGCAGAUUUCUGUCCACACUCAAAUCCCCGCGUUUGGAAAUGGAGAGGAAAAAUAAACGCCGUGCAAGAAAAUUCCUGAGUGAGUUCACACAGAAUCCCAGGGUGGUUGGGGUUGGAGGGCUCAGCCAGUGCCACCCCUGCCAUGGCAGGGACACCUUCCCCUGUCCCAGGCUGCUC